AGCGUAAUAAACACGGAUAAUUCGGUUAUACUUGGUACUGAAGCACGUCCGCCAGUGUUACUCGAG
rnacentral:snoRNA from 1 species